rnacentral:lncRNA from 10 species
GACACACUGGCCUUCCCCCACCCACCAAAUUAUUCUUAAAAAUCCUGAUCCCUGAAUGCUCAGGGAGACUGAUUUGAGUAAUAAUAAAACUACUGUCUCCCACACAGCCGGCUCUGCAUGAAUUGCUCUUUAUUGCAAUUCCCCUGUCUUGAGAAAUCGCUUCUGUCUAGGCAGCGGGCAAGGUGAGCCCAUUGGGCAGUUACAAGGAGACACGGAGACACAGAGACACAAAGACAGACACACAAAAAAGAGACUGUCAUGUGAAAAGACAGACACACAGAGAGAACAUCGUAAGAAGACAGAGGAGGAGAUUGGAGAGAAGCAACUGUAAGCCAAGGAACACCAAAGACUGCAGGAAACCCCAAAAACUAGGAACAGGGCAUGGAACAGAUUCUACCCAUAUUCUCAGGAAGAGUCCCUGCCAACACCUGGAAUUCAAGCUUCUGGAUUCCAGAUCAAACCCAUGCUAUGGACAGCCCUAUGGAAAAAGCAACCUGGAGAAGAAUUUUAGCCUCCCAAGCAUCACCAUAGUUGUCCUUUGGAAGAAGAUCAUCCAGCUCAAGUUCAGUCUCAAAUGACUGCACCCCCAGCUGACAACUGGACUGCACCAGAAUCAAUCACCUGAACUGCUCACCAAGUCCCAACCUAAAGAAGACAGAGAAGGUCACUUGAGGGUCAUGAAAAAAUUUGCAGAAGGAAUGAAUGCCUUGAAGGACGUUGCGACCAGCUGCUGAUACCCAGGAAUCUGGUUGCUCAAGAUGUUACCUGAGAAUAAAGAAACGCAGACUUUUCCCCCUCACUUCCCUGAAACUGCCUCUCCUUUACUCCUUAGCUACCUAAAAACUCACUGCUUCCUCUUUUUGUUAAGAUGGAUUUGAGACAUCUUGCUCUCCCAACUUCUUGCUUUGACCAAAUUGAAUAAAUCUUGUUUGAUCUCCAA